rnacentral:rRNA from 1 species
GCAUGAAGCUGGAAUUGCUAGUAAUCGCGGAUCAGCAAGCCGCGGUGAAUACGUUCCCGGGCCUUGUACACACCGCCCGUCACACCAUGAGAGUCGGGAACACCCGAAGUCCGUAGUCUAACCGCAAGGGGGGGCGCGGCCGAAGGUGGGUCCGGUAAUUGGGGUGAAGUCGUAACAAGGUACC